GCUGUAGCCAUUUUGUUCUCGCGGAUUUUAUAGUGUUCAUCACAAUUCCAAUUAUUAUUAAUAUUAAUUGACCGAUCUUAUAGCAAGUGACAAUCAGUCAUCAUCAUCCGAUGAAGAAAAAGUUGCGGAGCCUCGUAGGCUUAUUGUAAAUUUUGGCCAAAUUAUGGCAUUUAUUGGCGACGAUGAACCAAGCAAGGCCCGUCGCUGUUGCUGAUGAUGAUGAACUUGGUGAACUUAUUCGCCUAGGUUUACCGGGAAAUAUAAACGUGCGGCAAGACAGGAAUGAUUGAAAAGGUUACGCAAAAAAACAAUGAAGAGCCAUACCACAAUGGGUGCAUUACCACACAUCCUUGGUUUGAACCAGCCAUCUUAAAUCCUGUAACACUACAAAUUGCAUAUUGGCAGUAUGUUUCACAAUACCAGGAGCCUGUGACCGAAGGGGGAGUCGAAAGGCGUUACAGGUAUACAGCCUAUCAGCAAUUUGUACGUUGGUGCUGUGGUUAUCUUGGCAAAGACAGGCGAGUGCUGAUGUCGUGUAAUGAAGUCCAUACACGAGGCAUUUCCUGAACCAAGUGCCAACUACACAGAGUUUAAAUAUCCUCCCCAGACAGGUGAAUUUUAGCUUCUCCUUUGACCAGAGGCUCCUCAUGCUGUAGCUAUGUUAAUGUAUUGCCAGUAUGAAUUACUAUGUCUGUGUUAAAUUAAUUUUAUCUAUUAAAAUUGUAUAUUUUAACAAUAAUUUAUUUUUGGUUAAU